rnacentral:rRNA from 1 species
CCUACGGGUGGCAGCAGUGAGGAAUAUUGGUCAAUGGCCGUAAGGCUGAACCAGCCAAGUAGCGUGAGGGAAGACUGCCCUAUGGGUUGUAAACUGCUUUUGUACAAGGGUAAACCUGAAUACGUGUAUUCAGCUGAAAGUACUGUACGAAUAAGGAUCGGCUAACUCCGUGCCAGCAGCCGCGGUAAUACGGAGGAUCCAAGCGUUAUCCGGAUUUAUUGGGUUUAAAGGGUGCGUAGGCGGAUUGAUAAGUUAGUGGUGAAAGGUACGAGCUUAACCCGGGAACUGCCUUUAAUACUGGUGAUCUAGAGAGUAGAUGCGGUAGGCGGAAUGUAUGGUGUAGCGGUGAAAUGCUUAGAUAUCAUACAGAACACCGAUUGCGAAGGCAGCUUACCAAUCUAUAUCUGACGUUGAGGCACGAAAGCGUGGGGAGCAAACAGGAUUAGAUACCCCAGUAGUC